AGGAGCAGGGCGGGCGGGGAGCGGUGUUUGUCUCCCUGCUGCAAUAUUCUUCCGCCGCGAAGUAAAGAGUUCCAGCCCUCCUCUCGAUCCUAGGAUUUCCAGCGAUCCUGCAAAGUCGAAAAACUAUGAAAUCUGUAUUUUCUCAUCGACUCGCUUAGGAUUUCACCUGAGGUAAUGACCUCAGGAUCACAAUUUUGCGGCUACCGAUGAGAGACAAGUAAAUUCCUCCGCAAGAAACGGGUUCCGGCCACGAGCCUAUAAAAAACCGGUGGCGGGGUGCUGCUGUCUUUUCAGUCGGGCGCUGAGUGGUUCUUCGGAUCAUGUCUGGUGGCUCCGCGGAUUAUAACAGAGAACAUGGAGGCCCAGAGGGAAUGGACCCCGAUGGUGUCAUCGAGAGCAACUGGAAUGAGAUUGUUGAUAACUUUGAUGAUAUGAAUUUAAAGGAGUCUCUUCUUCGGGGCAUCUAUGCUUAUGGUUUUGAGAAGCCUUCAGCUAUUCAACAGAGAGCUAUUAUUCCCUGUAUUAAAGGGUAUGAUGUGAUUGCUCAAGCUCAGUCAGGUACUGGCAAGACAGCCACAUUUGCUAUUUCCAUCCUGCAACAGUUGGAGAUUGAGUUCAAGGAGACCCAAGCACUAGUAUUGGCCCCCACCAGAGAACUGGCUCAACAGAUCCAAAAGGUGAUUCUGGCACUUGGAGACUAUAUGGGAGCAACUUGUCAUGCCUGCAUUGGUGGAACAAAUGUUCGAAAUGAAAUGCAAAAACUGCAGGCUGAAGCACCACAUAUUGUUGUUGGCACACCAGGGAGAGUGUUUGAUAUGUUAAACAGAAGAUAUCUUUCUCCAAAAUGGAUCAAAAUGUUUGUUUUGGAUGAAGCAGAUGAAAUGUUGAGCCGAGGGUUUAAGGAUCAAAUCUAUGAGAUUUUCCAAAAAUUAAAUACAAGUAUUCAGGUUGUGUUGCUUUCUGCCACAAUGCCAACAGAUGUGUUGGAAGUGACCAAAAAAUUUAUGAGAGAUCCAAUUCGAAUUCUGGUGAAGAAGGAAGAAUUGACCCUUGAAGGAAUCAAACAGUUUUACAUUAAUGUUGAAAGAGAGGAGUGGAAGUUGGACACACUUUGUGACUUGUACGAGACACUGACCAUUACGCAGGCUGUGAUUUUUCUCAAUACAAGGCGCAAAGUGGACUGGCUCACUGAAAAAAUGCAUGCCAGGGACUUCACAGUUUCUGCUCUGCAUGGUGACAUGGACCAGAAAGAGAGAGAUGUUAUCAUGAGGGAAUUCCGAUCAGGGUCAAGCCGAGUUCUGAUCACUACUGACUUGUUGGCUCGUGGGAUUGAUGUGCAACAAGUAUCUUUGGUUAUAAACUAUGAUCUACCUACCAAUCGUGAAAACUAUAUUCACAGGAGUCGAUAGCAGCAGUUGAUGACGAGAUGGCGCUCAGAAACGGCGUUGACGUAAUUUAGGACGUGGAAUCAUAAGCGAAACAGCACACUGUUUGAAUAAAGAGCGAGUCGAAUUGGCAGAGGGGGUCGAUUUGGGAGGAAAGGUGUGGCUAUAAACUUUGUUACUGAAGAAGACAAGAGGAUUCUUCGUGACAUUGAGACUUUCUACAAUACUACAGUGGAGGAAAUGCCCAUGAAUGUGGCUGACCUUAUUUAAUUCCUGGGAUGAGAUAUAUUUGAAUGCAGUGCUCGCUGUUGCUGAAUAGGCGAUCACAACGUGCAUUGUGCUUCUUUGGGAAUAUUUGAAUCUUGUCUCAAUGCUCAUAACGGAUCAGAAAUACAGAUUUUGAUAGCAAAGCGACAUUAGUCGUGAGCUCUUGUGAGGAAAGUCAUCGGCUUUAUCCUCUUUAGAGUUAGACUGUUGGGGUGGGUAUAAAAGAUGGGGUCUGUAAAAUCUUUCUUUCUUAGAAAUUUAUUUCCUAGUUCUGUAGAAAUGGUUGUAUUAGAUGUUCUCUAUCAUUUAAUAAUAUACUUGUGGACUAAAAGAUAUAAGUGCUGUAUAAAAUCAGCCAAUUAUGUUAAACUAGCAUAUCUGCCUUUAUUGUGUUUGUCAUUAGCCUGAAUAGAAAGGCCUUUAAAAUUGAUUUUUUUUUUUUUAGAAAGCAUUUGAAUGCAUUUUGUUUGGUAUUGUAUUUAUUCAAUAAAGUAUUUAAUUAGUGCUAAGUGUGAACUGGACCCUGUUGCUAAGCCCCAGCAAGCAAUCAUAUCCUAGGUAGGGUGAAAUCCCCAGUAAAAUUGCCAUAUUGCACAUGUCUUAAUGAAGUUUGAAUGUUAAAUAAAUUGUAUAUUCACUUUAAA